rnacentral:rRNA from 1 species
UGGGGAAUAUUGGACAAUGGGCGCAAGCCUGAUCCAGCAAUACCACGUGAGUGAUGAAGGCCUUCGGGUUGUAAAACUCUUUUAGUAGGGAAGAUAAUGACGGUACCUACAGAAAAAGCACCGGCUAACUUCGUGCCAGCAGCCGCGGUAAUACGAAGGGUGCUAGCGUUGUUCGGAAUCAUUGGGCGUAAAGCGUGCGUAGGCGGUUUGGUAAGUCGACUGUGAAAUCCCAGAGCUUAACUUUGGAAUUGCAUUCGAAACUACCUCACUAGAGUAUGGCGGGGGAUAGUGGAAUUCCUAGUGUAGGGGUGAAAUCCGUAGAUAUUAGGAGGAACACCAGUGGCGAAAGCGGCUAUCUACACCAUUACUGACGCUAAGGCACGAAAGCGUGGGGAGCAAA